GUAGAUUGGGAUUUCAGACCUGUGUUCUAGCCUAGGUUGACUCAUUCAUUUUCAUUGCUCAUUUACUGAAUGCAGCAUUGUAAAAGGUAUUAUGGAAGUGGCUGUGAAUACAAAGGUCCAUGCUUAUGGAAUAAAGCACUCCAUGCCCACACUGAAUUUAGGAAAUAGUGUUCACUCUACCCUCCUUAGUGAGACACAAUAGGCUUCAGCAUAUUAGUGGCUCUGAGGGGUUUUACUGUCAAUAAUAACAAACACAUCAUAAACACACAAGGUUUAACUUCAUUUAUUCCAGUUGUUAGGUUCUUUUCUUUUUGAAUCUGUAUAACACAUACUGACAUCACCUAGAAGACAUUUGGGAAAAUGCUGUUAUAAGAAAUUUUCUCAUUCUGCUUUCUUGACUAUUAUAGUUGUUGUUCUUAGGUUUUCCUCUUUGGUCAAGUAGAAACUCUUGUCAGGUAAUGGAAUCAAUAUUCCCAGCAGUGUAUUUCAGACAGACCUGUAUACUUUGGACUCAGCCGGCAGUUCUUAUUAAAUGACACCACCCAUCAAACAGAUAUUGACUGUGUGGGGUGUGAUAGGUGCUUAACUGGGAUGUGGGGACUGGCUUUUCACAGCCCAGGCUUGUUCUUCCUGAUUCCUGGGAAGACUUUCCUUUAAGCAUUCUUCAGUGGUCUUACAUGAGCUUUCUGCGUUAGUGGUGUUGCCUUCUGUGCUUGUUUAUAGAGGUUACUACACUUGACUGUGAAUACCACCCAAGCGGUCUUUGCAGGAGUUGGAGGCUCAAGCAAAACCAGCAGUGUCCUUGGAGUCUAGUUCAAAGCUGAAGAGAGUGAACCAUAGAACUGGGAGCCAUUGGCGGAGGGGCUGGCCUGAAGGAAGGGAAGUGUUUCAGCCAGAAUGUACUGACGCACGACCAGGAAACCACAAGACUGAUGUGGCCAGUCCAUCACCAAAGCCAGGAAAGAGAUAUGGGAAGGAAGCUUCAUCCCCUACCCAGUGCAUCAUUAUUGGCAACAGGACAGAUGAAAUUCACCAAAGUCUCUACCACAGACAUUCUCAGAUGGUCCUAAUAAAAAGAAGAAACCCAAACCAGAACUGGUGGUCCACAUUGUGAGAGUUGCUGAAUAUCAUCACAAAGCAAUAAUUAUCCAACAGCAUGCUUGGUGGCUCAACAUUCUGAAAGGCAAAUGUCAAGGGCAUAUAGUCUCAACCAUAUUGCUAAUGGGAGCUCAUGUUUUUUGUGUUGGGUGGUCUUGUGUUCUGCCUGGUGGUCUUUCUUCUGCCUGCUACGACAGCACUAAUGAUUUCAUGUACACAGUAUUCACUUGUCUCCCUGUAGUAGUGCAUGACAAGUCAUAAAAGACAGACUGCCCAGAAAUGACACUG
rnacentral:lncRNA from 1 species